CGAGAGUGUCAGGGACAUCUCCGAGCUGCGGCUCCCUUUACUGCUGAUGCGCCGCGGCUGAAGGAAGCAGGAAAAGCAAACGCGAGGGUAUGCAGGUGAAGGAAGCACAACGGCUGGUGGGACAACAGGGGGUGGACACGACAGGGACAUGCUGUCUGUCCUGCAGGCCAAACCGGCUCUUUCAGAUUUUUCCGCCCCUGUCUGAACUCUACGCAAACAUUACAGGGCAGAAUCCAAUCCAGUGAGGCAGAAGGAGUAGCAUCCAUGGAUGAACAGCCCACAGAAAUGCAUGAUUCAUUCAAAGAAUGUGGCGGACGUUACGGCGGGCGAAUGAAGUCACGCAAGGACGGCUUUUCGCAAAGAGAACAGUAGAAAGGUGGAAAGUUUACCUGUUUUCACUUUUCGUCCUUUACACUUUUUUACUCAUGUUUUUUUGGGGGGUUAUUUAUGCAGUGAUAAGUUCUUGGAUAUUUUAUAAGUCCCUUUACUUCAUUUUUAAUCAAAUGUAAUACAUUUGUGUUUUCAAUGUGCCUUUAAACUUAAUAAAGCAAUCCGUCUUGUUUCUAAGUUUACCCUAUAUUACAAUUUGAAACUAUUUCUUAGAUUCAAUUAUUUUUAUUCUCUUUCUUGGUGUUAAAAUUCCUUCAAAGUGUCACGCUUGUCUGCCUUCCAUUAUGUGAAAAUAUUUUUUUUCAUUUACCAAAAAACUCCCAAUGUACAUACAUAUCUGCGAUGGAGAAGGGAAAAAGAAAUCAUAUAUUUUUCAAUGACUAUUUAAGAUUUUGGCCAAAUUCUAAAAAUGGUUCAGUAUUAGUUUUCCUGCCAUUUUUUAUUUUUAUAUGACUUGGUUAAAACAAGUGGCGCCAAAUCUAAGCACUUUUCUCAACUCUUCUCUAAAUAAUGGAAUAACAAAAGUGAGGUAAUUAUUAGAACUGCCAAGUAAGGAAAUAUUUCAGAAAAUGUGUGUGCUUGCUAUGGAGAGAUCUAAAAUAUAUAAAAAAGAGUUAAAUUGCUGAAAUUGGCAUUGAUUGGUUGAAAAUUCUUAAGCUUUAUCAAUAUUUUUCAGGUAUGUUGCAUUAAUGAUGAGAUUCAUAAAACAAAGGAAAACCUCUCGUUGAUGGACAAAAUUUCUAUCACAAUGUUUAAGAGAGUUGCUCAGUACAAAUUUGUUUAGCAAAUAAACUGAUUGCAAAGG